rnacentral:rRNA from 1 species
UACGUAGGGACCAAGCGUUGUUCGGAUUUACUGGGCGUAAAGGGCGCGUAGGCGGCAUGACAAGUCACUUGUGAAAUCUCUGGGCUUAACUCAGAACGGCCAAGUGAUACUGUCGCGCUAGAGUGCAGAAAGGGCAAUCGGAAUUCUUGGUGUAGCGGUGAAAUGCGUAGAUAUCAAGAGGAACACCUGAGGCGAAGGCGGGUUGCUAGGCUGACACUGACGCUGAUGCGCGAAAGCCAGGGGAGCGAACGGG